AUUGAACGCUGGCGGAAUGCUUUACACAUGCAAGUCGAGCGGCAGCGCGGGGCAACCUGGCGGCGAGCGGCGAACGGGUGAGUAAUACAUCGGAACGUACCCAGUUGUGGGGGAUAGCCCGGCGAAAGCCGGAUUAAUACCGCAUACGACCUGAGGGUGAAAGGGGGGGAUCGCAAGACCUCUCGCAAUUGGAGAGGCCGAUGGCGGAUUAGCUAGUUGGUAGGGUAAAGGCCUACCAAGGCGACGAUCCGUAGCGGGUCUGAGAGGACGGCCCGCCACACUGGAACUGAGACACGGUCCAGACUCCUACGGAGGCAGCAGUGGGGAAUUUUGGACAAUGGGGGAAACCCUGAUCCAGCCAUUCCGCGUGAGUGAAGAAGGCCUUCGGGUUGUAAAGCUCUUUCGGCAGGAACGAAACGGUGGGUCCUAAUACGAUCUGCUAAUGACGGUACCUGAAGAAGAAGCACCGGCUAACUACGUGCCAGCAGCCGCCGUAAUAC
rnacentral:rRNA from 1 species